AGACAAUAUUCGAAGAAAUUCUGGCAGUCAGGUUACUAGAUUUAUAUCGCCAGUUAUGGACACACGAUUCAUUUGCAAGGCUAAUGAUAAUUGUUACAUUACUAUUAUCACGGCGAAAACCCAGUUAUGCGACCAAGUGAUUAAUUGUUGCAAUGGAGAAGACGACAUUCACAUCUUCAUCACACAAGAGUCAAUUGGUGUAUGCGUAACUGAAAUCGUUGUGCACACUUUGAAUGAGGGACAAGAACAAACCAUUUGCACCAAAGCUGGAAUAAACGGAACAACUCUCAACUUCACAGUACUUGCACUUACACC